rnacentral:rRNA from 1 species
GGUUAAGUUAGAAAGGGCGCACGGUGGAUGCCUUGACACUAGGAGUCGAUGAAGGACGGGACUAACGCCGAUAUGCUUCGGGGAGCUGUAAGUAAGCUUUGAUCCGAAGAUUUCCGAAUGGGGAAACCCACCAUACGUAAUGGUAUGGUAUCCUUAUCUGAAUACAUAGGGUAAGGAAGACAGACCCAGGGAACUGAAACAUCUAAGUACCUGGAGGAAGAGAAAGCAAAUGCGAUUUCCUGAGUAGCGGCGAGCGAAACGGAACAUAGCCCAAACCAAGAGGCUUGCCUCUUGGGGUUGUAGGACAUUCUAUACGGAGUUACAAAGGAACGAGGUAGACGAAGCGACCUGGAAAGGUCCGUCGUAGAGGGUAACAACCCCGUAGUCGAAACUUCGUUCUCUCUUGAAUGUAUCCUGAGUACGGCGGAACACGUGAAAUUCCGUCGGAAUCUGGGAGGACCAUCUCCCAAGGCUAAAUACUCCCUAGUGAUCGAUAGUGAACCAGUACCGUGAGGGAAAGGUGAAAAGCACCCCGGAAGGGGAGUGAAAGAGAUCCUGAAACCGUGUGCCUACAAAUAGUCAGAGCCCGUUAACGGGUGAUGGCGUGCCUUUUGUAGAAUGAACCGGCGAGUUACGAUCCCGUGCGAGGUUAAGCUGAAGAGGCGGAGCCGCAGCGAAAGCGAGUCUGAAUAGGGCGUUUAGUACGUGGUCGUAGACCCGAAACCAGGUGAUCUACCCAUGUCCAGGGUGAAGUUCAGGUAACACUGAAUGGAGGCCCGAACCCACGCACGUUGAAAAGUGCGGGGAUGAGGUGUGGGUAGCGGAGAAAUUCCAAUCGAACCUGGAGAUAGCUGGUUCUCCCCGAAAUAGCUUUAGGGCUAGCCUUAAGUGUAAGAGUCUUGGAGGUAGAGCACUGAUUGGACUAGGGGUCCUCAUCGGAUUACCGAAUUCAGUCAAACUCCGAAUGCCAAUGACUUAUCCUUAGGAGUCAGACUGCGAGUGAUAAGAUCCGUAGUCAAAAGGGAAACAGCCCAGACCGCCAGCUAAGGUCCCAAAGUGUGUAUUAAGUGGAAAAGGAUGUGGAGUUGCUUAGACAACUAGGAUGUUGGCUUAGAAGCAGCCACCAUUUAAAGAGUGCGUAAUAGCUCACUAGUCGAGUGACUCUGCGCCGAAAAUGUACCGGGGCUAAAUACACCACCGAAGCUGCGGAUUGAUACCGAAUGGUAUCAGUGGUAGGGGAGCGUUCUAAGGACAGUGAAGUCAGACCGGAAGGACUGGUGGAGUGCUUAGAAGUGAGAAUGCCGGUAUGAGUAGCGAAAGACGGGUGAGAAUCCCGUCCACCGAAUGCCUAAGGUUUCCUGAGGAAGGCUCGUCCGCUCAGGGUUAGUCAGGACCUAAGCCGAGGCCGACAGGCGUAGGCGAUGGACAACAGGUUGAUAUUCCUGUACCACCUCUUUAUCGUUUGAGCAAUGGAGGGACGCAGAAGGAUAGAAGAAGCGUGCGAUUGGUUGUGCACGUCCAAGCAGUUAGGCUGAUAAGUAGGCAAAUCCGCUUAUCAUAAAGGCUGAGCUGUGAUGGGGAAGCUCCUUAUGGAGCGAAGUCUUUGAUUCCCCGCUGCCAAGAAAAGCUUCUAGCGAGAUAAAAGGUGCCUGUACCGCAAACCGACACAGGUAGGCGAGGAGAGAAUCCUAAGGUGUGCGAGAGAACUCUGGUUAAGGAACUCGGCAAAAUGACCCCGUAACUUCGGGAGAAGGGGUGCUUUCUUAACGGAAAGCCGCAGUGAAUAGGCCCAAGCGACUGUUUAGCAAAAACACAGCUCUCUGCGAAGCCGUAAGGCGAAGUAUAGGGGGUGACACCUGCCCGGUGCUGGAAGGUUAAGGAGAGGGGUUAGCGUAAGCGAAGCUCUGAACUGAAGCCCCAGUAAACGGCGGCCGUAACUAUAACGGUCCUAAGGUAGCGAAAUUCCUUGUCGGGUAAGUUCCGACCCGCACGAAAGGUGUAACGAUUUGGGCACUGUCUCAACCAGAGACUCGGUGAAAUUAUAGUACCUGUGAAGAUGCAGGUUACCCGCGACAGGACGGAAAGACCCCGUGGAGCUUUACUGUAGCCUGAUAUUGAAUUUUGGUACAGUUUGUACAGGAUAGGCGGGAGCCAUUGAAACCGGAGCGCUAGCUUCGGUGGAGGCGCUGGUGGGAUACCGCCCUGACUGUAUUGAAAUUCUAACCUACGGGUCUUAUCGACCCGGGAGACAGUGUCAGGUGGGCAGUUUGACUGGGGCGGUCGCCUCCUAAAGUGUAACGGAGGCGCCCAAAGGUUCCCUCAGAAUGGUUGGAAAUCAUUCGUAGAGUGCAAAGGCAUAAGGGAGCUUGACUGCGAGACCUACAAGUCGAGCAGGGACGAAAGUCGGGCUUAGUGAUCCGGUGGUUCCGCAUGGAAGGGCCAUCGCUCAACGGAUAAAAGCUACCCCGGGGAUAACAGGCUUAUCUCCCCCAAGAGUCCACAUCGACGGGGAGGUUUGGCACCUCGAUGUCGGCUCAUCGCAUCCUGGGGCUGUAGUCGGUCCCAAGGGUUGGGCUGUUCGCCCAUUAAAGCGGUACGCGAGCUGGGUUCAGAACGUCGUGAGACAGUUCGGUCCCUAUCCGUCGUGGGCGUAGGAAAUUUGAGAGGAGCUGUCCUUAGUACGAGAGGACCGGGAUGGACGCACCGCUGGUGUACCAGUUGUUCUGCCAAGGGCAUAGCUGGGUAGCUAUGUGCGGAAGGGAUAAGUGCUGAAAGCAUCUAAGCAUGAAGCCCCCCUCAAGAUGAGAUUUCCCAUAGCGUAAGCUAGUAAGAUCCCUGAAAGAUGAUCAGGUUGAUAGGUUCGAGGUGGAAGCAUGGUGACAUGUGGAGCUGACGAAUACUAAUAGAUCGAGGACUUAACCAU